UCUAACUAAUUUUCUUUCUCUCUCUAGUUGAAGUAGAGAGCCGUACGUGGAGGAGCUCUCAGGUGAAGUUCGAGUGUCGCUGAUGUCGCGCCGCGGUGCCGUUCGAGCGUGUGUUCGUCGUCGUAGCAUCACGAGGAGGCCGGGCGAGGGUGCGAUUCCGCCGUUCUCGACGUCACGCCGGAUUGGGAUUUACGUUUGAGAGCCUUCGGUUCCGGUUGCUGCAUCCUCCUAGACCGGCCGUGGCAAGGACGUUGUGAGUAGAGCCCUACCAGAUGAGUCGCCGAGAUAGAGGAUCAUCUUCAGCAGGUAGUGGUGCUUUUAUUUUUGAGUUCAUGUACAUACAGAUGCUAUAACUCGCUUGAGCGAGUACUUUUGUACCUGGAUAUUAUGUAUGUAUAUGGAACUUGCUUUCAGUUUUA